UCAGGCAUUAGGCUAUCCAGUACGUGCCUUACAUCUGAAUGAAGAUGCUGUUGUUACGUGGAUUAAAUACUGACAUUAUCACAGUUCACUUCAUACAGAAAGAAUCUUGGUGUUUCUAGUAACGCAACAGGCUGGAGAGUGUUGGGGAGGCUCUAAUGGACAAAGUGAGAUUUGGAGGGAGAACCUUCAAAAAUUCUGUAAAAGUAGAUGGAGCAAUUUUUUCAGCUUUCUCUCUUCAAAUUAAGCUGCUGGCUUUGUGCUUAGAAGUUGUUCCUGAAAUUGUACCUCUCAGUCACUCCAUGGUGGUACAGCUGAGCAAAUUCAAUGGACCAGAAAAGUAACCUUUUCCUUCACUGUGGUAAUGGUUUCUCUUUGAAACAUUAGCGGAAGACUCAGAUUAUUCUUUCCUAUCUCAAUGGGUGUGAGACAAAAGAUUCAACUGGAUAAUCAUCUGCCUAAACAGUCUACAUAUAAAGGAUCCUGUUGUAUCUCCAGGAAAUUUUGGAGUUGAAGAUGGAUACUGGGUAAAGAGCACUAGGGAAGCAAGAAAGUCCAGGGAGCUUUCCAGCAAUAUUGCUGCUGCUAACUUUUCACAGGCUGCAUUUCUUCAGU